CUCCUCCUCACCCUACUCAACAUGAAGACCAUGAGGAUAAAGACCUUUAUGAUGAUGUACUUCUACUUAAUGAAUGCUGGAACAUCCAAAAAGCUUGGAAUUCAUCACCCACAUCUGUAGAACAAGAAAAUGCUGAGCAAAUUGAAAAUGGGUGACUUUUCUUUGACAUAUCAGAGAAGUGAGGUUGCAUGGGAAAGCACCAUCCUGAAAUCUGAAAGCGCAGGUGAGUUCAAAGAGUUAGAGCCUACUGGGCGCGGUGGCUCACUCCUGUAAUCCCAGCACCUUGGGAGGUCAAGGUAGGCGGAUCACC
rnacentral:lncRNA from 10 species